rfam:Pontibacillus chungwhensis BH030062 contig20, whole genome shotgun sequence.
GGCAUUUUAUUUCUAUACCACGAUUAGCCCCGGAAUCUAAUUGUGUUGAGAAUAAAAUAU